AGGAAAGAUUGUGCAAAAGCCUUGCCAUACAGGUGAAACUAGAAAAAUGAGAAUAUCAUGCAAAAGUUCAUUUAUUUCAGUAAUGAAACUUAAAAGGUGAAACUAAUAUAUGAGAUAGACUCAUUAUAUGCAAAGCAAGAUAGUUCAAGCCAUGAU